GAACUAGAAGACGACAGUGUUCGUUUUUGGAAGAAAGGAAGGAACCGGAAACGUAGGGGGAUUUUGCUGUCGUGUUGGGUUGACGUGUCCUACUCGUCCUCCUUCCUCCUCUCCUUCCACCUUCUUCUUCUUCUUCUUCUUCUUCUUCUUCAAGUUGAAUUCUUUGCUUGCUCUUCAUCCUCUGUCCAUCCUUUGCUUCCCUCACCCACCUACCUCUCCUCCAUUCCAUUCUUUAAUGUUAUUGCGAUUCUUUCCCCCAUAGAAAAAAAACAAGACUUCCCAUUUGGGUUUCAAGUUCGGCGAAUUUUGGGGGCAUUCAUUGAACUCAUAUUCAUCACUGCUUCCAUCAUCAACGGGGAAGAAGCAGCCAGCAGCAGAAAAGCUGCAAACCCAAUUGAAGUUGAACCCUUUUUGACUCUUGAAGACUUGGGCAGUUGGGGGCUUCUCAUCUCUGAGCUGAUCUUUGAUCAUGGAGGUCUCCACCUCUUCCUCCUCCUCCUCCUCCCCUCUUUCAAUCCAUUCCCCCUUCACCCGCCCCUGCCGCCGCCGCUUCCCCCCUCGAUCCGUCUACUUCUCGCCCUCCUCAGCGCCUUCGAUCCCGCCCCCUUCGUCGUCUUGUUCUUCUCCGUCUUCCUUCUGGGGCGCCCCAAUCAGGCGCCAGUCGCGUGUCGCCGCCGCGCGGAAGAGGCCGACGCUGCGGUCGGCGCCGAUAAGGGCGGUGUUCGAGCGGUUCACGGAGAGGGCGAUCAAGGCCAUCAUCUUCUCCCAGCGGGAGGCCCGGGCUCUGGGCAAGGACAUGGUGUUCACUCAGCACCUGCUGCUUGGCCUCGUCGCUGAGGCCCAGUCCCAGUCCAGCUCCAACCCGAACGGGUUCCUCGGCUCGGGGAUCACACUCGAGAAGGCCCGGGAGGCCGUUAACUCGAUAUGGCAAAAUCAGAAGGAGAAGAAGGACGAUGAAGUAGCCGAUGAGACUGCAGGGACAGGGACGUCGUACUCGGCAUCAACUCGCAUUCCGUUCUCAAUUAGCACGAAGCGGGUGUUCGAAGCCGCGGUGGAGUACUCCCAGACGAUGGGCCACAACUUCAUAGCCCCUGAGCAUAUCGCUAUUGGUCUAUUCACGGUCGACGAUGGAAGCGCUGCCCGUGUCUUCGAGAGAUUGGGGGCGAAUGUUAAUCAUUUGGCUGCUGUGGCAGUCACGAGGCUUCAAGGAGAGCUCGCCAAGGACGGGAGAGAGCCUAUGCCGUCCAAAGAGGACAAGUCCUUUACCGGCGGGGCCAUGGAAAAAUCCCAAGAGAAGAGUGCCCUAUCCCAAUUCUGUGUGGACCUUACAGUCCGUGCCAGUGAAGGUCUGAUUGAUCCAGUGAUUGGGCGAGAUUCGGAAAUUAAAAGAAUCAUCCAGAUAUUAUGUCGCCGGACAAAGAAUAACCCGAUCCUUCUAGGUGAAGCUGGGGUGGGAAAAACUGCCAUCGCAGAGGGAAUAGCUAUUAGAAUAGCCCAGGCUGAAGUUCCGAGUUUUCUUUUGACAAAGCGGAUACUAUCCUUGGACAUUGGCUUACUAAUUGCAGGCGCAAAGGAGAGAGGAGAGCUAGAGGCACGUGUCACUGAUUUGCUCAAGGAGAUAAUGAAAUCAGGGAAUAUCAUACUUUUUAUCGAUGAAGUCCAUACGAUUAUUGGGUCAGGUACUGUUGGGAGAGGAAGCAAGGGAUCAGGUCUUGACAUUGCUAACCUGUUAAAACCUCCCCUUGGAAGAGGUGAUUUGCAGUGCAUAGCAUCAACAACAAUGGAUGAAUUCAGGACACAUUUUGAAAAGGACAAAGCAUUGGCCCGGAGAUUCCAACCUGUACUUGUUAAUGAGCCAACCCAGGAGGAUGCAGUUAGAAUACUGUUGGGCCUGCGCGAGAAGUAUGAAGCCCACCACAAGUGCAUUUACACGCUCAAAGCUAUUAAUGCUGCAGUGCAACUUUCAGCCCGGUACAUCUCUGAUCGUUACUUGCCCGACAAAGCUAUUGAUCUCAUCGACGAGGCUGGAAGCAGGGCCCACAUUGAAGCCUUUAAGAAGAAGAAAGAACGACAGACUUGCAUACUCUCAAAGUCUCCUGAAGAUUAUUGGGAAGAAAUUAGAACUGUGCAGGUCAUGCAUGAAGUGGUAACGGCGAGCAGGCUAAAGGAUGGUAGCGAUGCAUCAACGAUAGAAGAUUUGGACUCCCCUUUGGCAGCAGCACUGGAAGAUGAUGAGCCUGUGAUGGUUGGACCUGAUGAAAUAGCAGCAGUUGCUUCAGUCUGGUCUGGCAUCCCGGUCCAAAAACUCAAUGCCGAUGAAAGGUUGCUUCUCGUGGGUCUCGAUGAACAGCUUAAAAAACGAGUUGUUGGUCAAGAAGAGGCUGUCUCAGCAAUCUCCCGUGCCAUCAAGAGGUCUCGAGUUGGGUUAAACGACCCUGACAGGCCUAUAGCUGCAAUGCUGUUUUGUGGGCCGACUGGCGUCGGCAAAACCGAGCUUACAAAGGCUUUGGCUGCCUGCUACUUUGGAUCGGAAUCAGCAAUGCUAAGGCUGGAUAUGAGCGAAUACAUGGAGCGACAUACAGUGAGCAAAUUAAUUGGCGCACCCCCGGGUUAUGUUGGCUUUGGGGAGGGAGGUAUACUCACUGAGGCCAUCAGGAGACAGCCUUUCACCGUUGUGUUGUUCGAUGAAAUCGAAAAAGCACACCCUGAUAUUUUCAACAUCCUCCUGCAGUUGUUUGAAGACGGGCAUCUCACAGAUUCUCAGGUUCAUUCUUCUUGUGGCCACCUAUCUAAGAAGAAUGUUCUCGGAAUAUUGGUCGGAAAGUCUCAUUCAAGAAUGCUUUGAUUGUGAUGACAUCCAAUGUGGCAUCAAGUACCAUUGCAAAAGGUGGACGCAGCUCCAUUGGUUUUCUAACUGCAGAUGACGAAUCAAGUUCGUAUUCUGGGUUGAAAGCGCUGGUGAUGGAAGAGCUGAAGGGUUAUUUCCGGCCCGAGCUGCUCAACCGGAUUGAUGAAGUGGUCGUCUUCCGUCCUCUCGAGAAGUCUCAGAUGCUCGAAAUCCUGAACUUGAUGCUAGCGGAUGUGAAGAAACGGCUCAUUUCAAUGGGUAUCGGGCUAGAGGUCUCAGAGUCGUUAAUGGAUCUGGUGUGCAAGCAAGGGUACGACCAAAUCUACGGUGCAAGGCCAAUGCGGAGGGCAGUGACCCAGCUGAUCGAAGACCUAUUGAGCGAAGCUCUCCUUUCGGGCAAUUGCAAGCCCGGUGAUACGGCCGUCGUUGAUGUCGACUCCUCAGGGAACCCAUUUGUCACUAACAAAGCCGAUAAGAGCAUCCAUCUAUCAGACAGCUCGUCGGUCUUGUAAUUAUAUUUAGGCACAUAAUUCAUCAGUUGUGAUUCAUUAGGAUGAAAUCUUUUUGCCUUCUAUAUGAUCAAUUAUUCAAUUGUAUAUUGGUUACAGCAACAAUCUUGCUGAGGCAUUCUUUAAUAACAUUAGAAUGAUUCAUUUA